CAUUUAUUGAAAUUAUAUUAUAUUUUAUUUAGGUUUCGGAUCAAACAAGUCGAUCGAUUAUUGUCGUUGAUUCGGCGAAUUUAUGGUUUGGUAGAUUUUUUCUAGUUUGGCAACUUUGUUCGUGGUUCUUGUGUCAGACUGACAGCUGGCUGAGCUGAGAGACAGGUUAUGGAAAGUGGGGACGUCGCGAGAGCGCCGGAGACUCCACUGCCGUAACAAUAAUGUGGGCAAAUUAAAAGCCACGAUUUAUCGGCGACAUCAAGAGCCGAUGUCUCCAUUUAUAUAAAUAACUUAACUGAGAUGGUAAGUCCUCGCAAUUCUUCGUGCAUAUUUUUGCACCAACUUUGUGAUAACCUCGAGGUCCUUGUUUUCAGCAACAUCACUGAAAUCCCAUCGCCUAAGGUCCAGUGGGUGGGUUUAGGUUUCAUCCGAGCGAUGCCCAACUAUCCCGGAUGAACCUAUGGGGUUUUUGUUUUCUUUAAAGUUUUAACGUUUUAAUUUUCGAACGUUUUGCAAGUUUUAAUCUAAGAAGAAGUUUAUGAUUGGAUCAGAUGAUUUCAACAAUGAUUUUGUGAAUGAAGAUUGCUACUGUUUUCUUCUGCGUUUGCAAGUUAUUUCAAGCUUCAUUUCGGCGGAGCUUGCCUUGGUUGUUUGCACGUCGAAGCUUUCCUUUGUGCGGCGCGCAUGUGGAUGUGCCGUGCCUCUCCUUUUGUCAACACACCGGAUAAGGCCCGGUGAAGGUCUGCGAGGUUGACCGGUGGACGUGCAGCCCGCCAGCUGCGUAACAGUUGGCCCGCUGCGCCGCCAUCGUCCAGCACGCCCUGGCCUGAGCCGGCCUCAACUCAUCACCUGUACGGUAUUCCGGAACGCCUCAGGUAGGCCUGAUAGUCGGAGGUCCUCGAGUAAGUGAGGUGCCUACAGGUGUACGGACAGUGUUUUGAAAUAUAGUGAUAUCCCACGGUUGUUACGGAGUGACAAUUAACCUGACGGACCAAAGCGCGACCUGUCUCCCUCCAUAGGGUUUUUGACCUACCUAUGGUUAAUGAAAUUUGUAGAUUUAAAAAAUAUACAUUGUACAAAUUCAA